rnacentral:rRNA from 1 species
AUUCUUGACUGACUGAGCGGCGGACGGGUGAGUAACGCGUGGGUGACCUGCCCCAUACCGGGGGAUAACAGCUGGAAACGGCUGCUAAUACCGCAUAAGCGCACAGAGCUGCAUGAUCUGGUGUGAAAAACUCCGGUGGUAUAAGAUGGACCCGCGUCUGAUUAGCUAGUUGGCAGGGCAGCGGCCUACCAAGGCGACGAUCAGUAGCCGACCUGAGAGGGUGACCGGCCACAUUGGGACUGAGACACGGCCCAAACUCC